AUGGCGAGGUGGAAGGUCAGCCCUUUACGGGGUGCGGCACCGGAGCUGAGCCCCUGGCUGCAUCCCCCUCACCCCAGCCGGCUAGGUCUGAACCGGGCGGCCGGUGAAGGGGCCGGCGGUGGCGCGGCAGCUACUGGCCGCAGCGGCCGCUCCGGGCGUCUCGCCCGGGUCCCCAACGCGCCCGCCGGCCCUGACCUCACAAUGGCCAGCGCGGGGAGGGGGCGGCCGCUCUGGGCCGGGGCCGCGGAGCCCCCGGGCGGGAGGAGGCCCCGGGAGGGAGGCGAGCGGGCCGGCCCGCGUCGGACGCGAGGACGGCGCGGCGCCGAGGCCCGGCCGGCCGGGCCGGAGCGGGGGUCGCGCCGGGGCCGGGGUCGCCCACGGGCCCGCCAGCCGCCGCCGCGCCGCGCUCACCUGUGCCGCCCGCGCCAUCGCGCGCUCCGCCGCCGACGCCCAGCGACUCCGCCGCUCCCGCGGUCGCCGGCCCGCGGCCCCGCCCCGGGGCCGAACAGCCCCCGCCCUGGGAAAACGUCCUCCGGCACCGCGCCGCGCCGCGCCCGGGCCGCGCCGGCCGCUAUCGCCUGGCACAACAGCCCGGAACUGCCGCGGCCCAAGAGCGGCCGCCGGCGCCCUGCGCCCCCGCCGGGUCCACCCCGCGGCCGGUGCCACGCUGGGAAAGCGCACCGUCGGCCGCGCCGCUCCCUCCCGCCGGCUUUGCGACCGUGCCGUAACGCAGCCGCUCGCGCCGGCGCGACUCUGCCGUGCGCCGCGGCCGCCGGGGGACGCGGGCGAUGGCCGCCUUGCGGCCCCGUAGGAGGGCUCUGGUCUCUCCGCUCUGCCGCGCCUUCUCUGGACCAGGCUGUCAGCUCGCUCCCGAGCGAGCUGGGGAGCGCAGGGAUACGGCGCCGAGCCGGUCCUUUAGGUACUGCUGAAUACGGAAUGCUGAUGUGUCUACGUCUGUCUAGAAUGGGAGGCUGGGAUCCCAACCCUCCAGAAGGAAGACUUUCGGCUCCCAGCCCCGAAGUGUCAGGACUGCGGACCUGCAGGGACACCACGUUUUGCCAGCAUCUGUUCCUCUCAUCGUUGCCCACCGCUUUCCCCAGGGGGGUAGUGUGACGCCUUCACUCGGGAGCUUCGUGUUCUGUGCAGGCACUUCCGGGAAGGAGGGCCUAGGGGAAAGUCUUUGGUUCCAAAUCCUGGCUCCUCGUGGGGAGGUGGGCCCGGGACUGUGCCCGGAGAGCCCAGGAGCCUGCUGUAAGCGGGACGGACGGGGUGGAGAAGGAGGCUGGGCCUGCAGAGCUGGAGGAGGAGAAGCCCCCCGCGGGGCUGCCUGGCUGGCAGUUUACAUAGAAAGAGAAAAAACGGGAGGGGUUGUUCCCUCCCAGACACGGUGAUGAGCGCUCAGUGUGACAAGUACCUACACGCACGUUCCUUUCCUUGCCCUGGCUGCUCGCCAGCAGAGCUGAUGGGUUCUAGCCUGCGCGGCCCCCGCCUCCUGUCCCGCCCGAGACAGCCACUCCACUGUGAGGAAGCCGUGCGUUCCAUGCUGCUGCUGUGACAGCCGUAAAUUACGAAAUUCCUGGGUAGUCAGCCGCUUCCUCCACCCCCACGCCCGUUCUAUCCUGCGAGCGAUGGGCUGCGAAUAGGAUCCCGCGGCGGGCGGCCUGUUGGUGUGGCUCUUUCAGUCAGCAGAAGGUACCUGAGAUCCAUCACGUGCUGCCUGCUGUUGAGAGUGUCGCGCUCUGUCGUUGACGAGCACCGUUGUGUGGGCCACACUGGUUUUGCCAUUUACCAGUGGGAGGACGACGCGUAGGCUGCUUCCAGAUUUUGGCAAUUUUAAAUAAAACCACUUUUCGCAGCCACAUACAGGUUUUUGUGUGAGCAUAUGUAUUUACUCAUCUUGGAUAAAUACCUAGGAGUGGUGUCAGAUUGUGCGUUAGGUGUGUGUUUAAUUGUGUCACGGACUGCCAGCCUUUUUUCCAAAGUGGCUGCACCAUUGUGCAUUUCCACCAGCAACAUAUAAAAGCUCACUUGUUUUACAUCUUUGACCACACUCGUUAUCGUCAGAUGUCUUUGUGGGUUAUUUUAGGCGUAUAAAAAGGUGUGGUGUGAGGUGGUAUCUCACUGUGGGUUUGAUUUGCAUUUCCCAGUGAGUUGUGAUGUUGAGCAUGCUUUUAUCCAUAUGUCUUCUUCGGAGAAAGCUUUAUUUGGCCACUU